CUCAUCAAGCUCCAGGCUUUUAUUGGAAGGAGGACCAGAAUUAGAGGCAAGGCUCUAUUUCUAUUUGAGCAAAAUGAACUAAUGGUUCGCUGGAGUUUUUGACAAUUAAAAUUGCGCCCACAUUUUCAAAGUUAAACACAUUUCUUUUAACAACGGUAGUUUCUGCUUCAGCCCUCCCCCCCUCCCCCUGCACAGCGGCCGCAAACUCACUGAUGCGCCUGCAGCCUCUCGGAGUUCCUGCUGCUCUAAACAUUAAAAUAAUUAUUUCAGUUUCUGUUCCUCACUUCUGAUUACCUUCAAUGGUGUCUGUUUGUUGCAACCAGCAGGUACAAAAACUAACUUGUUUUUAUUUGACAAUUUUUCUGUCCUGCCUGUUUAUUAUCUUCCUGCAUCUCCUCUCAGUCCUAAAGAAAAACUGCUACCUGGGUUCAAAUAUAUUCACCUCAUGAGUUACCUUUGAACUGCAGUUCUGAAAGAUCUAUCGACCGCAAAAACAGCAGAGUGCUCGCUGCUUGGCGGCCGCAUCAAUGAUCGGUGCGUCACCGGAUGACAAGGUGAUGCGCCCCGCUCCACAGCGAAAUGCAUCAGGCACAAAUAAAAGACAGAAAACAUCAAAGGAAAUGAAAUGACAUGAACGAUCGCGUGUCAGUACCGACGCUCUGGCACAGCGCGUUGUCCCCCCGAGCGCAGGAGCUUGUUACCUGCUGACAGCAGGCUGCUGUCUUUUCCGUGGACUGCAUCUUGCCAGUCAUUAUCACGUGACAGCGACUAGUCGACGACAGGCAUAACAAGUCACAAUAGAGCGGUGAAGUCGACUAGUUCAUACAACCCUUGCUGCUCCCCAGAGUGUUCUGCAGCAUAAUCAGCACGUUCUCUUUGAACUUGAUAUCAAAUUUUCGCCUCCUCUUCGUCUUCGCACGGUUAAAGUUACCCUCGCGGUCUAUCACUGGCAAAUCAAAAGUGAGACGAUGACACAACUGCCCCCCGUACUUGCUUGUUACCACAUUCCACCCGGCCACAAUAAGAGACCGGCCAUUAUUCACCUCCGCCGACUCCGACACCGGCCAAAAUUGGAGACCUGGCCUUUAAUUGAAUACCGGCCUGUAUUAGAGGACUUACGGUAAACUAGAAAAAACUAAUAUUUUCUGUCAUAUAAACAAUGCAACAGAGCCACCUAGUGGUGAUGUUAAGAAACAGCACAGCUUUAAUGCAACAGAGCCACCUAGUGGCGAUGUUAAGAAGCAGCACAACUUUAAUGCAACAGAGCCACCUAGUGGUGAUGUUAAGAAGCAGCACAACUUUAAUGCAACAGAGCCACCUAGUGGUGAUGUUAAGAAACAGCACAGCUUUAAUGCAACAGAGCCACCUAGUGUUGAUGUUAAGAAGCAGCACAACUUUAAUGCAACAGAGCCACCUAGUGGUGAUGUUAAGAAGCAGCACAACUUUAAUGCAACAGAGCCACCUAGUGGUGAUGUUAAGAAGCAGCACAGAUUUAAUGCAACAGCAAAAUAACGUGUAUUUACUUCAGAUGGAAACAGAAAUAUUAAAAAUGGUUUAAAUAAAAAGUUGACUAAGAAUUUUUUUAAAUCAGUUAGUUCAAAAACUUUGCAGCUUAAAAAUAUAAUUUUUAACACCCACAUCACCCCGCUUCUCCUCCAGCUUCACUGGCUGCCAGUCAACUUCAGGGUUCAUUUCAAGAUCCUGGUUCUGGUCUAUAGGGCCUUACAUGGACAAGCACCAUCUUACAUUGGUGAUCUUCUUAGUCCCUACACCCCCAGCAGGUCCCUGAGGUCCAGUGAUCAAAGCCUCCUGGUUGUGCAGCACCAGGCUAAAGGUCAAAGGUGACAGAUCAUUUGCUGCUGUGGCCCCCAGACUCUGGACCUCUCUCCCCCUGAGCCUGAGAUCAGUGGACUCUGUGGUCUCCUUUAAACUCACCUGUUCAGGCUUUGGUGGGACCUUUAUCACCUCCCUCUCCUUGUUCUGGUCUUCCUACCAAUUCUGCCUUUCCCAGGAUCCACUGUAAUCAAUGCUUUCUUUCUGUUGCAGGUUCCUGCGAAGGCGAGGUGGACCUUCUAAAACAGAACCAGCCACAGACCUGAGGCGCUGGAGGCUGACUAAUGUAGGAGGAGGGCAGAUCUGGAGCUAUGUGGAGGAUCAGGAAAGCUGCCACAGACCUCGGAACAUGCUGGAAGCUUAUUCUGUUGGAUUAGACACUGUAGGUGUAAGAAAUAAGAGCAGCAUUUUUGUUAUCUGUAGCUGAAGUGAAAUCUGAAAUGAAAUUUGGUGUGUUUUUUGCUGAUAACUGGUCAUCUCCUCAGAGUGAGUUUGUUCCAGAGUCCCUGCCUGCCCAAACUGCUCUGGCUGCUGCAAUGAAAGGAAUGGACUUCUACAGUCACCUCCAGGUUGAGGAUGGUAGCUGGGUGGGAGACUUUGCUGGACCACUUCUGUUUUUCCCAGGUGAAAAUAAUCAUUUUCCUGUUUUACAUUUGCAGUGAUUACCUGUAGCACCCCCAUUCUGACUGGAUUAAAAUUUAAAGGACUAGAACAUGAUGCAGGAAAAUCAUUUGGUCUUUUCCAUUGGACGUCUUUAUGCUUCCAGGUCUUAUCAUCACAUUUUAUAUAGCUAAGAUCCACAUGCCAGAGGCAUGGAAGAAGGAGAUUGUGAGAUACCAUCGGUCGGUUCAGCUGCCAGAUGGAGGCUGGGGUCUGUAAGGCAACAUCAGACAGCUUCAUACGUUUGUUUUUUAAGUUGUACCACAAGCUGAAAUCCCGAAGGGGUAUAAAUUGUGACAAUUAUCAACAAGUUUUAUUUUUUAUUGUUUAAAAAAACCUCCUUGUUGAUCAUUUUGAUGACAGUGUUUUGUGUGUUUUUGGUUUAUCUGCAGACAUAUUGAAGAUAAAUCUACCGUGUUAGGAACAGCCCUGAACUACGUCGUCUUGAGGAUCCUGGGGGUGGAUCCCGAUGACCCAGAUUUGGUUCGUGCUCGGAACAACCUGCACAGCAAAGGUGGUGCAGUCGGGAUCCCAUCAUGGGGUAAAUUCUGGUUGGCUGUUUUAAAUGUCUACAGUUGGGAGGGAAUGAACACGUUAAUACCAGAGAUGUGGCUUCUCCCCACCUGGGUACCAGGCCAUCCCUCCACUCUGUGGUGCUACUUCCGUCAGGUCUACCUGCCUAUGAGCUACUGUUACGCUGUCAGACUGUCUGCAGAGGAAGACCCUCUAAUUCUCGGCCUCAGACAGGUGAUGAAGCUACCAUCUACCACAUGAGAGAGCCAUGGUUAUUACCAAGGGUGCAUGUAACUUUUACAAUGGAGUUACAAAACUGAGCGCCAAGUGUUGAUGUUUGGUAUUCACUUCACAUGGAACUGGUGCCCCUGAGAAGGCUGAAACUUGAUAUUUGACCUUUCAUGGCGGCUGUAGUUCCCUUGUGAUACAAGCACAGCAUAGUGAAGAGCAGUUUUGGAAACACAAAUGGAUGGGGCAUCUCUUACCAACACUGGUACAUAAGGGAGGGUAGCUGAAAAGAAAAUGGUGCGCACGCUUUAUGAUUGUUGUGCACGUGUAUCUGUGGACCAUACAUGUGCAGACCUGCUUAUUAUCCCAUAACCCAACAAAAAAAACCUAAACAAUUUAAGAAUGUUAAUUUCACAGUUUUUUCAUCGAUAACAUUUCUAUCAUCCAUCCAGUUAUA